rnacentral:rRNA from 1 species
AAUGAACGCUGGCGGCAGGCCUAACACAUGCAAGUCGAACGGAUCCUUCGGGAUUAGUGGCGGACGGGUGAGUAACGCGUGGGAACAUACCCUUUGGUACGGAAUAGCCUCGGGAAACUGGGAGUAAUACCGUAUGUGGUCGAGAGACGAAAGAUUUAUCGCCAAAGGAUUGGCCCGCGUUGGAUUAGGUAGUUGGUGGGGUAAUGGCCUACCACGCCGACGAUCCAUAGGUGGUUUGAGAGGAUGAUCAGCCACACUGGGACUGGGACACGGCCCAGACUCCUACGGGAGGCAGCAGUGGGGAAUCUUCGACAAUGGGGGAAACCCUGAUCUAGCCAUGCCGCGUGAUCGAUGAAGGCCUUAGGGUUGUAAAGAUCUUUCAGGUGGGAAGAUAAUGACUGUACCACCAGAAGAAGCCCCGGCUAACUCCGUGCCAGCCGCCGCCGUAA